CGCGAUGCCCUUAAUUGGGUGUCACAGGGAACCAGGACCUUUACUUCGAAAAAAUUAGAGUGUUUAAAGCAGGCAUUUUGCUUGAAUACAUUAGCAUGGAAUAAUAAAAUAGGACGGCAUGAUUCUAUUUUGUUGGUUUCUAGGAUCACCGUAAUGAUUAAUAGGGAUAGUUGGGGGCAUUAGUAUUCAAUUGUCAGAGGUGAAAUUCUUGGAUUUAUUGAAGACUAACUACUGCGAAAGCAUUUGCCAAGGACGUUUUCAUUAAUCAAGAACGAAAGUUAGGGGAUCGAAGACGAUCAGAUACCGUCGUAGUCUUAACCAUAAACUAUGCCGACUAGGGAUCGGAUGAUGUUAAUUUUUUAAUGACUCAUUCGGCGCCUUACGGGAAACCAAAGUGUUUGGGUUCCGGGGGGAGUAUGGUCGCAAGGCUGAAACUUAAAGGAAUUGACGGAAGGGCACCACCAGGCGUGGAGCCUGCG
rnacentral:rRNA from 1 species